GGGUUGUGAGGUUAAGCGACUAAGCGUACACGGUGGAUGCCCUGGCAGUCAGAGGCGAUGAAGGACGUGCUAAUCUGCGAUAAGCGUCGGUGAGGUGAUAUGAACCGUUAUAACCGGCGAUUUCCGAAUGGGGAAACCCAGUGUGUUUCGACACACUAUCAUUAACUGAAUCCAUAGGUUAAUGAGGCGAACCGGGGGAACUGAAACAUCUAAGUACCCCGAGGAAAAGAAAUCAACCGAGAUUCCCCCAGUAGCGGCGAGCGAACGGGGAGGAGCCCAGAGCCUGAAUCAGUGUGUGUGUUAGUGGAAGCGUCUGGAAAGGCGCGCGAUACAGGGUGACAGCCCCGUACACAAAAAUGCACAUAUUGUGAGCUCGAUGAGUAGGGCGGGACACGUGGUAUCCUGUCUGAAUAUGGGGGGACCAUCCUCCAAGGCUAAAUACUCCUGACUGACCGAUAGUGAACCAGUACCGUGAGGGAAAGGCGAAAAGAACCCCGGCGAGGGGAGUGAAAAAGAACCUGAAACCGUGUACGUACAAGCAGUGGGAGCCUCUUAAUGGGGUGACUGCGUACCUUUUGUAUAAUGGGUCAGCGACUUAUAUUCUGUAGCAAGGUUAACCGAAUAGGGGAGCCGAAGGGAAACCGAGUCUUAACUGGGCGUUAAGUUGCAGGGUAUAGACCCGAAACCCGGUGAUCUAGCCAUGGGCAGGUUGAAGGUUGGGUAACACUAACUGGAGGACCGAACCGACUAAUGUUGAAAAAUUAGCGGAUGACUUGUGGCUGGGGGUGAAAGGCCAAUCAAACCGGGAGAUAGCUGGUUCUCCCCGAAAGCUAUUUAGGUAGCGCCUCGUGAAUUCAUCUCCGGGGGUAGAGCACUGUUUCGGCAAGGGGGUCAUCCCGACUUACCAACCCGAUGCAAACUGCGAAUACCGGAGAAUGUUAUCACGGGAGACACACGGCGGGUGCUAACGUCCGUCGUGAAGAGGGAAACAACCCAGACCGCCAGCUAAGGUCCCAAAGUCAUGGUUAAGUGGGAAACGAUGUGGGAAGGCCCAGACAGCCAGGAUGUUGGCUUAGAAGCAGCCAUCAUUUAAAGAAAGCGUAAUAGCUCACUGGUCGAGUCGGCCUGCGCGGAAGAUGUAACGGGGCUAAA
rnacentral:rRNA from 1 species